rnacentral:rRNA from 1 species
GAUGAACGCUAGCGGCAGGCCUAACACAUGCAAGUCGAGGGGUAACAGUGAGAGCUUGCUUUCAGCUGACGACCGGCGCACGGGUGCGUAACGCGUAUGCAACCUGCCUUGUACUGGAAGAUAGCCCCCGGAAACGGGGAUUAAUAUUCCAUGGUAUUAUUAAAACACAUGUUUAAAUAAUUAAAGCUUUGGCGGUACAGGAUGGGCAUGCGUGACAUUAGUUAGUUGGUAAGGUAACGGCUUACCAAGACAGUGAUGUCUACGGGGUCUUAAAGGAUGGUCCCGCACACUGGUACUGAGACACGGACCAGACUCCUACGGGAGGCAGCAGUGAGGAAUAUUGGUCAAUGGACGCAAGUCUGAACCAGCCAUGCCGCGUGAAAGGAUGACGGCCCUACGGGUUGUAAACUUCUUUUAUACAGGAAGAAAACGUCUUACGAGUAAGGCACUGACGGUACUGUAUGAAUAAGCAUCGGCUAACUCCGUGCCAGCAGCCGCGGUAAUACGGAGGAUGCAAGCGUUAUCCGGAUUUAUUAGGUUUAAAGGGUCCGCAGGCGGACUUUUAAGUCAGUGGUGAAAUCCUGCAGCUUAACUGCAGAACUGCCAUUGAUACUGAAAGUCUUGAGUGUGGUUGAGGUAGGCGGAAUGUGUUGUGUAGCGGUGAAAUGCUUAGAUAUAACACAGAACACCGAUUGCGAAGGCAGCUUACUAAACCAUAACUGACGCUCAUGGACGAAAGCGCGGGGAGCGAACAGGAUUAGAUACCCUGGUAGUCCGCGCCGUAAACGAUGAUUACUCGUUGUGCGCGAUACACAGUGCGUGACUGAGCGAAAGCAUUAAGUAAUCCACCUGGGGAGUACGUUCGCAAGAAUGAAACUCAAAGGAAUUGACGGGGGCCCGCACAAGCGGAGGAACAUGUGGUUUAAUUCGAUGAUACGCGAGGAACCUUACCCGGGCUUAAAUGCAGAGUGACCGUUGCCGAAAGGUGAUUUCCCGUCGGCAAUUUACAAGGUGCUGCAUGGCUGUCGUCAGCUCGUGCCGUGAGGUGUUGGGUUAAGUCCCGCAACGAGCGCAACCCCUAUCUUUAGUUGCUAGCAGGUAAUGCUGAGGACUCUAAAGAGACUGCCCGCGCAAGCGGUGAGGAAGGUGGGGAUGACGUCAAAUCAUCACGGCCCUUACGUCCUGGGCUACACACGUGCUACAAUGGCCGGUACAGAGGGCAGCUACCCCGCGAGGGGAUGCGAAUCUCAAAAGCCGGUCUCAGUUCGGAUUGGAGUCUGCAACUCGACUCCAUGAAGCUGGAAUCGCUAGUAAUCGCGCAUCAGCCAUGGCGCGGUGAAUACGUUCCCGGGCCUUGUACACACCGCCCGUCAAGCCAUGGAAGCUGGGGGUGCCUGAAGUCGGUGACCGCAAGGAGCUGCCUAGGGUAAAACUGGUAACUAGGGCU